AUUGAACGCUGGCGGCAGGCCUAACACAUGCAAGUCGAGCGGGGUUUUCGGACCUAGCGGCGGACGGGUGAGUAAUGCGUAGGAAGCUACCCGAUAGAGGGGGAUACCAGUUGGAAACGACUGUUAAUACCGCAUAAUGUCUACGGACCAAAGUGUGGGACCUUCGGGCCACAUGCUAUCGGAUGCGCCUACGUGGGAUUAGCUAGUUGGUGAGGUAAUGGCUCACCAAGGCGACGAUCCCUAGCUGGUUUGAGAGGAUGAUCAGCCACACUGGAACUGGGACACGGUACAGACUACUACGGGAGGCAGCAGUGGGGAAUAUUGGACAAUGGGCGCAAGCCUGAUCCAGCCAUGCCGCGUGUGUGAAGAAGGCCUUCGGGUUGUAAAGCACUUUCAGUAGGGAGGAAGCGUUGUGUGUUAAUAGUACACAGCGUUGACGUUACCUACAGAAGAAGCACCGGCUAACUCUGUGCCAGCCGCCGCAGUAAAAC
rnacentral:rRNA from 1 species